rnacentral:rRNA from 1 species
AAUGAACGUUAGCGGCGCGCCUGAUGCAUGCAAGUCGAACGAUUUGAUGAUCCGCAAGGAUUGUCAGAUAGUGGCGAACGGCUGAGUAACGCGUAAGUACCUACCUCCGAGUGUGGAAUAACUUGCCGAAAGGCAGGCUAAUACCGCAUACGCUGAUGAAUUAAUUUUAUCAGUAAAGCUUUCGAGCGCUUGGAGAAGGGCUUGCGUCUGAUUAGCUAGUUGGUGGGGUAAUAGCCUACCAAGGCGAUGAUCAGUAGCUGGUCUGAGAGGACGACCAGCCAGACAGGGACUGAGACACGGCCCUGACUCCUACGGGUGGCAG